GAUGAACGCUGGCGGCGUGCUUAACACAUGCAAGUCGAACGAAGCACUCUAUUUGAUUUUCUUCGGAAAUGAAGAUUUUGUGACUGAGUGGCGGACGGGUGAGUAACGCGUGGGUAACCUGCCUCAUACAGGGGGAUAACAGUUGGAAACGACUGCUAAUACCGCAUAAGCGCACAGGAUCGCAUGAUCCGGUGUGAAAAACUCCGGUGGUAUGAGAUGGACCCGCGUCUGAUUAGCCAGUUGGCAGGGUAACGGCCUACCAAAGCGACGAUCAGUAGCCGACCUGAGAGGGUGACCGGCCACAUUGGGACUGAGACACGGCCCAAACUCCUACGGGAGGCAGCAGUGGGGAAUAUUGCACAAUGGGGGAAACCCUGAUGCAGCGACGCCGCGUGAGCGAAGAAGUAUUUCGGUAUGUAAAGCUCUAUCAGCAGGGAAGAAGAAUGACGGUACCUGACUAAGAAGCACCGGCUAAAUACGUGCCAGCAGCCGCGGUAAUACGUAUGGUGCAAGCGUUAUCCGGAUUUACUGGGUGUAAAGGGAGCGCAGGCGGUGCGGCAAGUCUGAUGUGAAAGCCCGGGGCUCAACCCCGGUACUGCAUUGGAAACUGUCGUACUAGAGUGUCGGAGGGGUAAGUGGAAUUCCUAGUGUAGCGGUGAAAUGCGUAGAUAUUAGGAGGAACACCAGUGGCGAAGGCGGCUUACUGGACGAUAACUGACGCUGAGGCUCGAAAGCGUGGGGAGCAAACAGAAUUAGAUACCCUGGUAGUCCACGCCGUAAACGA
rnacentral:rRNA from 1 species